rnacentral:rRNA from 1 species
CCUACGGGAGGCUGCAGUGGGGAAUAUUGGACAAUGGGGGGAACCCUGAUCCAGCCAUGCCGCGUGUGUGAAGAAGGCCCUCGGGUUGUAAAGCACUUUCAGUGAGGAAGAACGCCUGGUGGUUAAUACCCAUCAGGAAAGACAUCACUCACAGAAGAAGCACCGGCUAACUCCGUGCCAGCAGCCGCGGUAUUACGGAGGGUGCGAGCGUUAAUCGGAAUUACUGGGCGUAAAGCGCGCGUAGGUGGCUUGAUAAGCCGGUUGUGAAAGCCCCGGGCUCAACCUGGGAACGGCAUCCGGAACUGUCAAGCUAGAGUGCAGGAGAGGAAGGUAGAAUUCCCGGUGUAGCGGUGAAAUGCGUAGAGAUCGGGAGGAAUACCAGUGGCGAAGGCGGCCUUCUGGACUGACACUGACACUGAGGUGCGAAAGCGUGGGUAGCAAACAGGAUUAGAUACCCCAGUAGUC